rnacentral:rRNA from 1 species
AGCUUGCUACCGGACCUAGCGGCGGACGGGUGAGUAAUGCUUAGGAAUCUGCCUAUUAGUGGGGGACAACAUCUCGAAAGGGAUGCUAAUACCGCAUACGUCCUACGGGAGAAAGCAGGGGAUCUUCGGACCUUGCGCUAAUAGAUGAGCCUAAGUCGGAUUAGCUAGUUGGUGGGGUAAAGGCCUACCAAGGCGACGAUCUGUAGCGGGUCUGAGAGGAUGAUCCGCCACACUGGGACUGAGACACGGCCCAGACUCCUACGGGAGGCAGCAGUGGGGAAUAUUGGACAAUGGGCGCAAGCCUGAUCCAGCCAUGCCGCGUGUGUGAAGAAGGCCUUAUGGUUGUAAAGCACUUUAAGCGAGGAGGAGGCUACUUUAGAUAAUACCUAGAGAUAGUGGACGUUACUCGCAGAAUAAGCACCGGCUAACUCUGUGCCAGCAGCCGCGGUAAUACAGAGGGUGCAAGCGUUAAUCGGAUUUACUGGGCGUAAAGCGCGCGUAGGCGGCUAAUUAAGUCAAAUGUGAAAUCCCCGAGCUUAACUUGGGAAUUGCAUUCGAUACUGGUUAGCUAGAGUGUGGGAGAGGAUGGUAGAAUUCCAGGUGUAGCGGUGAAAUGCGUAGAGAUCUGGAGGAAUACCGAUGGCGAAGGCAGCCAUCUGGCCUAACACUGACGCUGAGGUGCGAAAGCAUGGGGAGCAACAGGAUUAGAUACCCUGGUAGUCCAUGCCGUAAACGAUGUCUACUAGCCGUUGGGGGCCUUUGAGGCUUUAGUGGCGCAGCUAACGCGAUAAGUAGACCGCCUGGGGAGUACGGUCGCAAGACUAAACUCAAUGAAUUGACGGGGGGCCCGC